UACGGGGGGUGCGAGCGUUUUCCGGAAUCACUGGGCGUAAAGGGCUCGUAGGCGGUUUGUCACGUCGGGAGUGAAAACUCGGGGCUCAACCCCGAGCCUGCUUCCGAUACGGGCAGACUAGAGGUAUGCAGGGGAGAAUGGAAUUCCUGGUGUAGCGGUGAAAUGCGCAGAUAUCAGGAGGAACACCGGUGGCGAAGGCGGUUCUCUGGGCAUUACCUGACGCUGAGGAGCGAAAGUGUGGGGAGCGAACAGG
rnacentral:rRNA from 1 species